rnacentral:rRNA from 1 species
AAUCAACGCUGGCGGCGUGCCUAACACAUGCAAGUCGAACGCGAAAGUGGAGCAAUCCAUGAGUAGAGUGGCAAACGGGUGAGUAACACGUGGGUGACCUGCCUUCGAGUGGGGGAUAACGUUUCGAAAGGAACGCUAAUACCGCAUAACAUGCUGUCUUUUAACAGAUGGACAUCAAAGCCGGGGACCGCAAGGCCUGGCGCUUGAAGAGGGGCCCGCGCCUGAUUAGCUAGUUGGUGGGGUAAUGGCUCACCAAGGCAACGAUCAGUAUCCGGCCUGAGAGGGCGGACGGACACACUGGGACUGAGACACGGCCCAGACUCCUACGGGAGGCAGCAGUGGGGAAUUGUUCGCAAUGGGCGCAAGCCUGACGACGCAACGCCGCGUGGAGGAUGAAGAUCUUCGGGUCGUAAACUCCUUUCGAUCGAGACGAAUGGCCCUUGGGCUAAUACCCUGAGGGAGUGACGGUACCGAGAGAAGAAGCCCCGGCUAACUCCGUGCCAGCAGCCGCGG